CUAGUACGGGAGGCAGCAGUGAGGAAUAUUGGUCAAUGGGCGAGAGCCUGAACCAGCCAAGUAGCGUGCAGGAAGACGGCCCCAUGGGUUGUAAACUGCUUUUGUAUGGGGAUAAAGUCAAUCACGUGUGAUUGUUUGCAGGUACCAUACGAAUAAGGACCGGCUAAUUCCGUGCCAGCAGCCGCGGUAAUCUAG
rnacentral:rRNA from 1 species